CCCCUUACUCACUUAACUUGUUUACAAACGACCAUACUAAGCUUUUAUAUGAGCUUUACAACUUGUAUUCCUUUGGAAACCCUAACAUGAGAGAUCAGAUAAGAAGGGUGGAGAUCUUCUGGUUUGAAUUGGAUGAUGUAGAUUAAGUCUUAGUGCUUUACAAUCUCUUUGUAUGCGCAUGAUUGGAGGAUGAGAGGAACGGCUAGUAACACUCCACACUUGCCUCAUGUAUCUGUCCAUCUAACUGUCCAGAUACAUAGUCAGCUGUGUCUCUUACUUUACAGCUCACGCCAGCCUGUCUUUGACCAUCCUACUCCAAUUAGAAUCAGGCGCCAACUCCAUUUGAACUCACACAGCACACAGCAUCUUCUUGAUGCUCUUUUGAUGCUUAUCUUUAACCCGGACUUUGUACUCUUAUCUUGGGACAUUCCAUGGCUGUACGGUGAUGCCACUGCCGUACACCAACGCCCUAUCUUUGCACCAUCAUCCAUCAACUCCCAAACUCCUCCAAAGUUCUCCCAACUCUGAUUCUAUUCCUUCUAAAUCAUUAUC
rnacentral:lncRNA from 1 species